UUCCGGUUGAUCCCGCCGGACCUGACUGCUAUCGGAUUGAUACUAAGCCAUGCGAGUCCUUGCAGUAAUGCAAGGCAUACGGCUCAGUAACACGUAGUCAACUUACCCUAUGGACGAGGAUAAUCUCGGGAAACUGAGCAUAAUACUCGAUAGAUCAUAAUGCCUGGAAUGGUUUAUGGUUGAAAUGAUUCGUCGCCAUAGGAUGGGACUGCGGCCUAUCAGCUUGUUGGUGAGGUAAUGGCCCACCAAGGCGAUUACAGGUACGGGCUCUGAGAGGAGAAGCCCGGAGAUGGGUACUGAGACAAGGACCCAGGCCCUAUGGGGCGCAGCAGGCGAGAAAACUUUGCAAUGUGCGAAAGCACGACAAGGUUAAUCCGAGUGAUUUCUGCUAAAGAAAUCUUUUGCAAGUCAUAAAACCACUAGUGAAUAAGGGGUGGGCAAGUUCUGGUGUCAGCCGCCGCGGUAAAACCAGCACCUCAAGUGGUCAGGAGGAUUAUUGGGCCUAAAGCAUCCGUAGCCGGCUCUGUAAGUUUUCGGUUAAAUCCAUGUGCUCAACGCAUGGGCUGCCGAAAAUACUGCAUAGCUAGGGAGUGGGAGAGGUAGACGGUACUCAGUAGGAAGGGGUAAAAUCCUUUGAUCUAUUGAUGACCACCUGUGGCGAAGGCGGUCUACCAGAACACGUUCGACGGUGAGGGAUGAAAGCUGGGGGAGCAAACCGGAUUAGAUACCCGGGUAGUCCCAGCUGUAAACGAUGCAGACUCGAUGAUGCAUUGGCAUAUAGCCAGUGCAGUGUCGCAGGGAAGCCGUUAAGUCUGCCGCCUGGGAAGUACGUACGCAAGUAUGAAACUUAAAGGAAUUGGCGGGGGAGCACCACAAGGGGUGAAGCCUGCGGUUCAAUUGGAGUCAACGCCGGG
rnacentral:rRNA from 1 species